rnacentral:rRNA from 1 species
GGGGUGAGGGGGCAACUCUUCAUUCAGUGGCGAACGGGUGAGUAAUGCAUCGGAACGUGUCCCGUAGUGGGGGAUAACGCCGCGAAAGCGGCGCUAAUACCGCAUAUGCUCUACGGAGGAAAGCAGGGGACCUGAGAGGGCCUUGUGCUGGGGGAGCGGCCGAUGUCCGAUUAGCUUGUUGGUGGGGUAACGGCCUACCAAGGCUGCGAUCGGUAGCUGGUCUGAGAGGAUGAUCAGCCACACUGGGACUGAGACACGGCCCAGACUCCUACGGGAGGCAGCAGUGGGGAAUUUUGGACAAUGGGGGCAACCCUGAUCCAGCCAUGCCGCGUGCGGGAAGAAGGCCUUCGGGUUGUAAACCGCCUUUAGCCG